rnacentral:lncRNA from 1 species
AAACGAAACCGUUCUUAUAUCAUAGAAAUAAUCAACAAAAACUAGACGUACAUCCUUGUCUGUAUCUGGUCAAAUCCGGUACGUCACGAGACAAUAUGGCAAAUAAUCCAAGACUUACGGUACCUGCUACAACAACAACAACAUGAAAUUACAGAAGUAUAAUUUGUCAGUGUUGCAAAAGACCGUUGCAAAAAGAAUUUUUGAUGUAAACUUUUGGGAUAAACAUCAGCAACGACAUAACACCUGAUUGUCCAACAAUACUGAGAUGGAAGACAAUUGAACAGGAAGCCGUACUUCACAAAAGCAACAUUUACUAUCACUGACAAUGGCAGAAAACUCUCUGAAGUGUAAUAUUUGCAUGAAAUCAUUUGUUAAAAAAUCAGGAUUGAGCAGACACAUGCACAUACAUAUGCAAGAUCGGCAGUACACCUGCCAAAUUUGUCAACGAGUCUUUCUGACGGCGAAUCGUUUGAAAAGACACUCAUUUGUUCACUCCAGAGAAAGCAAGUUUAAAUGUGAGAUGUGUGAUAAAGGAUUUCCACAUUCACAGUCAUUAACAGAGCAUAUGCGUAGUCACACUGGAGAGCGCCCAUAUGUAUGCCAAAUCUGCAAUGUGGCAUUUAUUCGAGAUAAGGAUUUAAAGGGGCAUGCACGC